rnacentral:lncRNA from 1 species
UGGCUGUAUUUUUUCUUUUUUUCAUUUUCUAUUCUUUUUUUAGGGAGGGCACCUGGAGCACCCUGUCUGAAUCUGCACCUGGUGUCAUUUCAGAUAAAGACAUCACAAUUGAGGUUUUUUGGUCAUCUCCACCUACCCCCACGGGGAAGCCCACUCCUGCCCUGUCAAAUUUCACCUCAUAUUUAGUAAGAAACAUUAAACACCAAAGCUGAACUAAUUAUAGGCAUAAGGGACUAGACUAAGCUGAUUUUGGUGAAGCAACAGUUCAUAUUCGCCCCUCUCUUCUUGAUUUGCAUGUAGCAUUUGCCACUGGACAUUAAACACCAAUCAUCAAAAAAAUCAACACCUGAAUCUAGG